rnacentral:rRNA from 1 species
GUAGGUGGCAAGCGUUGUCCGGAAUUAUUGGGCGUAAAGCGCGCGCAGGUGGUUCUUUAAGUCUGAUGUGAAAGCCCACGGCUCAACCGUGGAGGGUCAUUGGAAACUGGAGAACUUGAGUACAGAAGAGGAAAGCGGAAUUCCACGUGUAGCGGUGAAAUGCGUAGAGAUGUGGAGGAACACCAGUGGCGAAGGCGGCUUUCUGGUCUGUAACUGACGCUGAGGCGCGAAAGCGUGGGGAGCAAACAGGGAUUAGAUACCCUGGUAGUCCACGCCGUAAACGAUGAGUGCUAAGUGUUAGGGGGUUUCCGCCCCCUUAGUGCUGCAGCUAACGCAUUAAGCACUCCGCCUGGGGAUACGGCCGCAAGGCUG